CGGACGGGUGAGUAAUGUCUGGGAAACUGCCCGAUGGAGGGGGAUAACUACUGGAAACGGUAGCUAAUACCGCAUAACGUCGCAAGACCAAAGAGGGGGACCUUCGGGCCUCUUGCCAUCGGAUGUGCCCAUAUGGGAUUAGCUAGUAGGUAAGGUAACGGCUUACCUAGGCGACGAUCCCUAGCUGGUCUGAGAGGAUGAUCAGCCACACUGGGACUGAGACACGGCCCAG
rnacentral:rRNA from 1 species